GACAUCACUGAGCUGGAGCAGAUUGCGAGCACAUGUUUCUUUAAAGGAACGACUGCUUGACAGGAAGAAGGGAUAUCAAAGGAUCUCCCUACAUCUGAAAAGUUGUUGCACAAAGUGUGGUUUUUGCUGUCGCAUUACAUCACAGUGUUAAAUUAAAGAAUACCACACUCCGUAUGGUAGACCGGGCUGGCGUAAGGUCAUAAGGCUGACUUUAGAGCUAAAUGAUGUUUUGAGUUUAGGGUAAAAAAAAUGUGGGGAGUAUUGAGUAUUUCAUUUGGAUUUUUUGCUGUAAAUGGAAUUACACCCAUUACAUUGCAUACUGUAAUUAUUGACUGAAAUACAUUUUUGAACUGAACUGAAUUGGAUUGAAUUAAGCGGAAUUCACUUCAACGGAAUGAAUGUCUGAUAUCAUGUACGACUCUAAUGGACCUAAAACCAUAGAUAGAAGAGUAGAUUUAAAAGCCAUGUAAUCUCCUGAUCUCACUUCAACAAAGUAGGCGUCUGUUAAUAUUCUAUAUUUUUUUUCAGUCAGAUUUUAUUAAGAAUAAUUUGACCGUUUUCUCUAAAGUGAGUUUUCAGGUUAAGAGGCACUUGUUCCACUCCUCUUCUUCAAAGGAUCGGCACAUUUACUGAAGUGUCAGUGUAUUAAUACCAUCUGUCAUUAAACAGCCACGGGUCCAAAUUCCUCAACCUUUUUCCUUGGCCAGCACGCUUCAUAUCUGUGAAUUUAUAGGAUCCAUAAACCUUCUAAUGCCCUCCGUUGGCAGCUCAGGGGAGCACAGUGAGGCCCUUUCUUUCUUUCAUGGCUCACGCGUGUGUUCAGGCUGAGUGAAAUUUAACGGUGAACUUGAGAGAAAACAGUGUUGAUGUUGUGAGAACCAAUCAGGCGAGAAGCCACUACGGUCGAUAGGGCCAAGAUGGCCGCUUGCUGUGGAACUAAUCAGGCCCAGAACAGGACCGGUUCUGAACCAGACCCUACGGAGCCUCUAAGCCCCUUAAACCAUGAAGUUUCUGGUGUGU
ensembl:lncRNA